UACGUAGGGAGCGAGCGUUGUCCGGAAUUACUGGGUGUAAAGGGAGCGUAGACGGCCAUGCAAGCCUGGAGUGAAAGCCCGGGGCCCAACCCCGGGACUGCUCUGGGAACUGUGCGGCUGGAGUGCGGGAGGGGCAGGCGGAAUUCCUGGUGUAGCGGUGAAAUGCGUAGAUAUCAGGAGGAACACCGGCGGCGAAGGCGGCCUGCUGGACCGCGACUGACGUUGAGGCUCGAAAGCGUGGGGAGCAAACAGG
rnacentral:rRNA from 1 species